AGCGCUGAUGAGCUGAAGUAUAGUCUGACCUGGUAUUGUUGCCCCCUGGGGCAACUCUGACCAGGGCGUGAUUACUGUAAUCUUCUCUCUGAGUUG